UACGGAGGGAGCUAGCGUUGUUCGGAAUUACUGGGCGUAAAGCGCGCGUAGGCGGCUUUUUAAGUCAGGGGUGAAAUCCUGGAGCUCAACUCCAGAACUGCCUUUGAUACUGAGGAUCUUGAGUUCGGGAGAGGUGAGUGGAACUGCGAGUGUAGAGGUGAAAUUCGUAGAUAUUCGCAAGAACACCAGUGGCGAAGGCGGCUCACUGGCCCGAUACUGACGCUGAGGCACGAAAGCGUGGGGAGCAAACAGG
rnacentral:rRNA from 1 species